rnacentral:rRNA from 1 species
AGCAGCCGCGGUAAUUCCAGCUCCAAUAGCGUAUAUUAAAGUUGUUGCAGUUAAAAAGCUCGUAGUUGAAUUUUGGGCCCGGACGGGCGGUCCACCCCUCGGGUGAGCACUGAACCGCGCCGGGCCUCACUUCUGGUGAGACGCCAUGCCCUUCGCUGGGUGUGGCGGGGAACCAGGACCAUUACCUUGAAAAAAUUAGAGUGUUCAAAGCAGGCAUGUGCUCGAAUAGAUUAGCAUGGAAUAAUGAAAUAGGACGCGCGGAGCUAUUUUGUUGGUUUCUAGAACCGCCGUA